AAAGCAUCAUACUGUACCGGUUAUAUAUCAAAAUGAGAAGGGAUUGAUAAUCGUCUUGAUAAGUGCAAAAGGAUUGCGAAACGAUCGAUCGUUAUUCCAGAUAUAUCUGCAGGCUGUCACUUCAAGAUUAUUGAUUAGAACCACCAAUUGAUCGUAAGAAGCCUCAUUGAUUUUAGACCUCGAUAUUUCCCGCGGCCUCAAUACCAUCAUU